ACGUAUGUGACAACAACACAACUGGAUGGGUUAUCAAAAGACUUCUCCAAGCUUAUUCACCUAUUCUGUUUGUAGGACUGACCAUGCCCUAGAAACAAGAUCUUCCUUUAACCAGAAAUACAUACAGCCUCUCUGGAUGAAGCUACAAUUUGCCUCCAUAAGCAAGUUGUGGAAAAGAGAGAAGCUACACUCAGUUCCACUAAUAUGAUACCAACUUCAAACAGCACUUACCAAAACCUAUCCUCCACAAAGAUUACCUGGAACCUCCCAUCAUGAUAUACCCCUACCAAUGCCCCACCAGCUAAGUCUUCAGAGAAUCCCAGAUGUUACUGGCUGCACUGAGCUCUGAAGAACUGUUUCAGCACAUGGAUACCCAGCAAAGAACUAAAGGAAGCCCACUAAAGCAUCAGUCUUCAAGCAUAGUUCAGUUAGGAACCAGCAUGACUAUUACAGUUUAACAAUAAAACAUCCCCACGGCAACAGUUUUUCCUCUGCUGGCUGCCAAAGCUUCUGAUCAUCCCAGGACCAUUGUCUGUGAUCCAUCAAGCUUUUGCUGGCUGAGAGGCAGCUGGCUUUUAAGCACAAAACCCAUGGUACAACAGGACAUCUAAUGGGAAAGCACAUGAGCAUUGAGACUUGGCUGCUAUCACAUACCAAUGGACAAGGAAGCUCUAAACAUGAUAAACAUGAGGACACCUCUAAGAACUUCAGACUAGGAAAGAGGGCAUCUGGCUCGUACAAUUUUACAAGGCUUAAUGUAUUUGUGAAGGAAGCAGAAGUUGGUGAGUCAGAAUAUAGACCUCUGUCCAGUCUCUAAACUGGAUAAAGGGAGACAGCAUGGGGUUAUAGCGUGUGCUGGGAGAAGGAGAGCCAAGAAAUGAACAAGUAAAAGCCUGACAAUAAUAUUACAGGGGCAGGUGGAUAUUAUACAGAAAAUACAAGGGAAUAUUAGUUUUUCGAAGAAAGAAAUAAAGACACUAAAUGGAAAUAAAUGCUAAGAAAGAAAUUAUCAAAGAAGCAAGGCUCUUUAGGCCAAAUGAUUUCUUAUUGUACAAAAUUCUUUUUCCAAACAACUACCAGUA